rnacentral:hammerhead_ribozyme from 1 species
AUCCAGCUGACGAGUCUCAAAUAGGACGAAAUGCACAUCCUGGAU